rnacentral:lncRNA from 1 species
ACUUUAAAUUUCCUAUCCUUCUUGCUUUGUAGGAUGCUGAAAUCUGCUGCUUGGGUGUCGCACAGUAUGAGUUUUACAAUUGUCGACCUGAGAUAGUGAUGUAUAUAUGAAGAUGAUUAUUAUUUCGUUUUGUACUAUUGUGUUAGACUUACCUGUUCAGCCGUAGACCAAUCGUGGCAUCAAUAUUGAGUUCUGGGUGGCAAGGUUUUAUUUUUUGUAUUAUGACUAUCUUCCCGACGACAUCUGCACAUUGAUUUUAGAAUAAAAAACUAUGUUUAUUUAAUUAAUAAUGGAAUGACUUACUUACCUGGUAAGUAGGUGGGUGUAGUUGCUAACCGCAAUAGAUUUCUGUAGUUCUGAGGAACUAAAGUGUGAACUGGAUAUACCGGACCGUCGAGUGUGACGUUCAAUGCUAUUGUUGUUUGGUCGACCCGAAUGUAAUACGGCAGUUGGGUGAGUUUCCGAUUUCGUGGAUUAUUUAUGACGGAAAAUCCCGAAAACUCAUAUAUAUCUCCUUCAACUAAGUAUUUUGGAUCAUUCGGCUGAAUGUUUCCGGUUAGCCGACCUUCCAAUAGUUGUCCCUGAGUGUGAACAAAUUUUGUUGUGACCAACCGAUUUAGUAAAUAGUGAGUAGCUUAAAUCAAAUUUUGUUGUGGCUUACAUUAUGGUCGUAGCAUAGGAAGCCGGUGCAAAUUUGAGUACUAUCGGUUUGAUGUUUUCUGAUGUCCCAGAUAUUUCUUAUACAAACCGUGAUGGGACGCAUUGAAAUCCCUUCUCUCAGUUGGUGGAUUUUUUGAGGAAUUUGUUCCAUGUAAGAUGUCACUGUAAAAAUUCGAUUUCAAUAAUGUAUAAAUAUUAUUUGUAUAUUUUUAAUUAUUACACACAUGGAUAUAUUUUGGAACUUAAAUUUUUGGGCAUACAGAACACGAUUAUUAAUUUCAUAUUGUUUUUAUGUGUAAUUGUAUUUAUAGUGAUGGUGAUGUUAUUUUACUUUAAGGUUAAAUAUUAUCAGAGAUUUAUAAGAUAACUUUUAAUAAUUAACCUAUGUCUAAAUUAACUGAUAAUAUAUAUAUACAUCAAAAUACAUUUUCCAUUACGGACUUGAGGUGGCUUUUUAAGGAAGCUUUUAUAAGAAACUAUGAAUUGUAUUAAACUACAUAUAUUUCCCACUAAAAUAACUACGAACAGUGCCAUAUACUGGCUGCAAAAUUAUUCUUAUAGUUUUAGUAAAACGGAGUAAUUACUAAAAUAAUAUAUAUACAUUAGAGGUGUUCAAUCCGGAUAUCGGUUCUGUUUCGAUUUGGUUUUCUCGGGUUUUCGAUUUAUAAAAUUAGCUACCAUAUUAAAACCAUAUUUAAUUUGGUUUGGUUCGGUUUAUAUACCGUCAAUUUUUGGUUUACUCGAUUUUAUACCAAAAAACUGUAAAUAUUUAACUUUUAAAUUUUUUUGUGAAUUUAACUUUAUAAGAUUAGAUAUCGGCUCUAAAUUUAAUUAUAAUAUGGAGAUAUUUUGGUUUCUAAAUAAUCAACUUUUAUUUUACUAUUUAAAUAAUAAUAGUGAUAGUUUUAUGGAAUAAAAAGAUUAGUUUGAAACGGAUAUGUUUAGGUUUGAAGAUAUUUAAUAACAGUAAUAGUUUUAUGGAAUAAAAAGAAGACCAAAAAAGUAAUAUAUAACACAAUAUUCACAUAAUACAUCUAGCGACAUCCAUGGCUAUAAGGCCAGCACUACACCCCAUCACACCAAGAUUCAACCUUUUUAUAUUAUCCCUAGGUUUAUACUUGGAUUAAAUUCUAAGUGAAUAUAUAAUACUUUCUGAUGAGAGCUAAAUAUUGAUAGUGCUUUCUUAGGUGGAUGGCCAACUGUAUAACUAAAUAUAUUGAUACGACAUAAAGAAUAACUCAAACCAACAACUCAUAGAUUGUAAGAUUGUAUAAGAGUCACCACUCUGAAUAUAUGUAACGGCCAAUAUAAUAUAAACAUUAUGUGAUCGGGUUAUUAAAUAUUUGUAUGGGAUAAUACAUAAGUUUUAACUUAAAAAAAGGGGCAAAGAUUUGUUUACCUGCAGUUUGCGGAGGAGGUAGAGGAGGUGCCGGAGGUGGGUGCUCCAUUCCUUUUAUAUUUAUAUCCUUAUAAUGAAACCGAUUACCAGUUAGACUGAUGAACUAAGAUUUGUAUCUUCUUGGAUGAUUAAAAAAUUCUUACCCUUUCACAGUUGGUUGGAGUCUAGCGUUGAUUAAAGCUUGGUAGACACUUCCAAUGGUGAUUGCAGUAUUUUUUUCAAAAUGGAAAUAGAAAGCUUGGUUCUCCGUGCAACAGCUUAAAGGAAUGCUUCGUACUUCUAUUUUCUUAUUUUGCUGAGAGUUACGAAAUAAAAAACAAUGCUUUAGGCAUUGCAGCUAAUGCACAAGAUAUGCAAAAAUUCUCUUACGUUAUUGGAAAUAAAUAUCAAUUACUUGAUUGAUUAUUUUUACGGUACUAAAUUUAUGCCGUUGAACACUUUUAAGGAAAGUGGAGUAAUCAUGGUUAUUGAAAACACGUUUUAAAAAAAUAUAUAUAUAUGGACUUGAAAACCUCAUUUUUUCCUUGAAUGUUGUUGCUUUCAUUACGUGCAUUUUUCAAAAAACAUUCACAGUUCGUGAAGAAUGAUUUUCAAAUACAGAAAUGAUUGACCUGUUUGUCACAAAGAUAGAUUUCAAAACACCUUAAGAAACAGAAUUAUAAGCCUUAAGAAGUAGAAUAAUGGUUAUUAAAACAUAGGCAUUCAGAGUAUAAAAAAAACUUUAGAAAAACUGAAAGAAAUCAUGAGUCAAUAAUAGACUGGAAAAAAAACUUUAGAUAUAAUCCCAUGCAAGACGUAAGACGCACACGAAAGAUCUACACCCCACGCUUCAGGCGUUUUGCUUUGCCCAUCUCACCAAUGUCACCAUUUCUCUUACUUCCCUCUGAUGGAUCCACACUGGUUUUGGAAGCUCCACACACGUUAGCUCCAGUCUCAAAUGUCUCCUCCGAAGUUGCCGGAUUGUAGUUUCCUCCCGCAGAUUCUGUGACUGGUGGAGUGUCCAGAGGGAGAAUCUUGGUCACAGUUAAAGAUCGAGACUUCCCAUCAAAGUUGUGCUUUGUAACUUUCACACAAAAGUUAUGUUUCUGACCGAUAGUGCUGAUUAAAGCUUCCGGGAAAGGCACCUCUUGGGUAACUCCUUGGUCUCCAUUAGCCUGACAUUCAAGAUUACCAAUAUUCAAUAGCAACUUGAAGACCAAUAUUCAGAGUACAGAUACUAACAGUUCCGACUGAUGAAACUUACCUCAAAAUAGCUGCUGACUAACUCGGCUGCAUGUUUCCCAGUUAACUCAAAAUCAGCAUCACCAAGCAGUACAAAAACAGCUUGCUCACUGUUGUCAUAGACAGAUAUCUGUGCACGGUACCUGCCAUGAAGAAAUUAGAAGCUAAUACCAUUCAAAUUGCUACUGAGAAUUGAGAAGUGAGUAUAGAGUAAAUACUGUGGUACUCCUGAUAUGUUGACUUUCCCACAUUUUGAACACAUCAAAGAAGUUGGGCCUUUUGUAGCCUUAGUAUGGCAACCACUGCAUGAUAUGUAAUACCAGGUUGAACCAUGGACCACAUCAUCAAUCGUUGCCGUGCACUAAAAAAAAGCCUCCUAGACAGCAAAGCUAUAUAAGACGCAAAGUUUUGGAUAAAUGACUAAGAAAUAAUUAGACCAAGUCGUACCUUAUUAGAUCCCUGCUUGAUGUAGGAGAAUAUUUCUCCUAUGGUCAGUGUCUCCCUUUUAGUAACCACUUCUGCAUUAACCAGCUCAGCAAUCUGUGGGUUAGAGCCCAACCUGAGACAGAGUAGUCGCAUUUUGAUCCAUUCAAUCAUUGAUAUGGGGUGAGGCAGCGAAAGAUUAAAUAUAAAAGUGAAAAUAUAUAUAGAUUUACCAGCUAAAGUAGUCGAUUGUAGGUUGUACAUCGUAGUCCAUAAAGACACGCGAGGAGGACAUUGAAGUCAGUGCCAGAGUACCUGGUUUAUUAAGCAAAACCCAUUUAAAGACCAAAAAGAGUAGAUAUCUAAAUGUAAGAAAGUUUUAUAAAGAUAGAAAUUGAACCUCCGAGACUCUUAGUGUUAACCGUAGUGACCAAUAACACGGUGGGGGUGCCUUCGUAUGAUUUGAAUUUUUUGCAAAAGUCUCUUGCAGCCUGGUCCCAAAGGUAGAGCUUCAUCACAGGUCCACUGCAAAAAAUCGUCACUGAAUGGUUAAUAUAAGUAGACAGAUAAAGUGUUUAAGAAAUAAUAAAAAACUUACUCGUAUGAGUGCACAUGAACCAACACAUGCCUCGCCCUAGCUAUCUCCACUUCAUCAAGAACUGGGGUCCCAAUGAGACACUGUCCAUUAACCACCUUCAUGUGCCCAACAACAUAUAUACCAUUGUUCAUCAAGCGUGUAAGUAAGAAGACUACACAAUAGCGUUCUACUAUUUCAUGACCAGACAAAACUGAAACACACAUAGAACUCAAGCAUCCUAAUCAAACUAUACUACAAUAGAACCCUCAAAAAAAAAAAAAACAAAACCCGAGUGUUGUAAAAAAAUCCUUCCUAAGGCUAUAAACAAAAUUAGUGAAUAUCAUUUGUCAUGUUCUGUUCUGAAAGAGUGAUCGCAGAAACUGAUAAAGACAACGAUUCCAGAGAAUGCUUAUCACAAACCUACAAUACAUUUUAACAAAAUUUCGAAAUCAACCGUGAAAGUAAGAAGAGUGCGCAAAAAGUAAACUACUUUCUUAUGACCAAACCAAAACCAAACACGCAUAGUACUGAAGCAGCUAACAGAUCCAAACCAUACUACACUACAAUACAAUCAUUUUAACAAAUCAAAUUUUAAGCACAUUGUAAGCAAAAUUCUAGAUUUCUAUCUGAGCAGCAACGAAGACAAAUACCACAUCAAGCAUUGCAACUCAGAGAUGGUGUGGGUGAUAACUUUUCUUACCGUAGAGGUCUCCUUUGCGAUCACAGCUAGCUUGAAAAUCCUCAAAGGAAUGAAAACGGAAUCUGUCUUCAUCAAAAGGGGUGGGACUGUCUUCAAGAACAGAGAGCUCCGAGUUCCAUGAGAACGACACCAUCACAGCAUGAUCAGAAACCCGAUACACGGUUUUGUUGCUUGACCGAUAAAAAUUGUUGAGCUUGUAAAGCAAUCCAGGCUUCAUUUUAGGCAAGUGUCUCUCAAUACGGCUUGGCGGAAUGAAUCCUUGGAUAACAGAUCCCUGCGAGAAAAUACAAAACCAAUCAAAUCUUUGUUUUAAUUUUGUAAAAAUUAAAGUUAGUGAAAAAAUUGGAACCCUCUAAAUAUCUAAAUAAAAACUUUAAGAACGAUCUAAUAUGGUAGAACGAAGAAACGCGAGAAAAUACAAAACCAAUCAAAUCUUUUUUUUAAUUUUGUAAAAAUUAACGUUAGUGAAAAAACUAACAUCUAAAUAUCAAAAAAAAAACUUUAAGAACGAUCAAAUAUGGAAGAACGAAGAAACGCGAGAAAAUACAAAACCAAUCAAAUCUUUUUUUUUUAAUUUUGUAAAAAUUAACGUUAGUGUAAAAAUUAACGAUAUUAAUCAAGAUCUAAAUAUCUAAAUAACAACUUCUAAGAACGAUCUAAAUAACAAAGAACGAAAAAAAUAUCUAAAUAACAACUUCUAAGAACGAUCUAAAUAACAAAGAACGAAAAAACUUAAAUCACGAUCUAAAUAAAAACUCUAAAUCGAUCUAAAUAAUCACGAAGCUAAAAACUAUGUUGGGUGAAAUCAAAUACCUGCUCGUCUAUUAGAAGCAUCUCAAGGCCAAUAAGCGUCUUCUUUAGAGGGUUCCAAGCCUCCCAGAAAUGAAUCAAGCGGAAACGCAGCUGGGUUUCGUGGGGACCCGGUGUGACAUCGCGGAAAAGCAUGAUUUUUUCAUCGUGAUCGGAGGUAACAUGGGAUUUUCCAUUCGGUUUCAUCGCCAUAGAUUAAGGAGAGAAGUUCGAGGUUUGGUUUCCACUCGAAAGAGAAUAACAGUAUAUAAAGGAGGAGGAGAAGAGCAAACGGAAAGGAACUCAUCAAGAAGAAUUGAUGGAUCGAGAUGUCGUGGGGUAUUGAUUGUAGAGAUGUUGAUCGAGAGAUCUGUUACGUUGAAGAGCAAAGAGAGAAGACGAAGAGAUGGAGGCGCAAAGCAUCGGGGUUUCCGUCGCGUUUUGUUUUUUUUUUUUAAUAUCUAUCUAUCCUAAACCAAUUCGAAACCCAUAGAAAAUCUAUAGAAAACCAUAUCGAAGCCCAAAUCAAACCAAUUCGAAGCCCAAAUCCCUAUAUCCGUCCCGCGUGUGAUCGAAGCCAAAAUCGCUAUAUAUCCGUCUCGCGUGUUUUCAUUAUUAAACCGAUAAAGACGAACCCAGUAAACCAAAACAAACGCAUCCUGUAUCCUACGUGUAUUAAUAAAAUGUUAUGAUUGGGGGAAAAUAUUUGCCGACGUGGAUAGGCUUAAAACACUCUAUAUGUUCCUUUUAGUAUAGGAUAGAUGACUUAAAAAUGUAAGAGCAUCUGAAUUGAUGAUAUCUCUGUGGGUAUCUCAACAAUUAAUUAAUGUAUUAUAUUAAAAAGGGAAGAAAAAGAAUUAAAAACGUUUCUGCUCGAAGAGAUUGUUCGCUAUUAAUAGCUUCUGGUCUCUCUCUUCUCUGUUCUCUCUCUAUCCAUCUUUCACAGAGAUAAGAUGCGACGAAGCUUUCACCGGAUUUAAUCCGGUCUAUGACUCCCGAUGGUUCGGGCUUCUGAUUCUGGGAAGCGGUGGUUUACUCAACACCGUCUUCGCCGGCUUUUCUCUUGCUUCUCAUCGUCUCCGGCGGUGUUGUGGGCGAGUUUGGUCCCGGUUCUUCUCCGGUUCCUCUUCGACCUCUGCUUCUCUUUGCUUUCUUUGGAUUGACUGACUCUCGAUCUGAGAAUCGGAUUGGUCUCUCAGAAAAUAUGUUUAUAAUCUUUUCGUAGUCAAGUUUAUCAAACUUUCAAUAGAUAUAUUGAUAACUCAUUCAACUUUUCUUGUGACAUGGUAGAUUGUAGAUAAUUUUUUUUCAAUUUCAAUAUGGAAAAAAUAUUUCCGCAGCAAAACCCCGGUUUGUAAACAAUAUUCGUUAAGCAAACCAUGAAGAAUCCAGGUAAAAAUUCUACAUUGUUUUCAAAGAUUUCAAUACUUCAUAAGCGCUUUUAACUUCUGCUGGUAGUACCAUUCUUAGAAUUUUAAGCUCAGAACAUAGAUCUUCCAUAUUUACAUCUGAAUGUUCACCAUGCCUACGAAAAUCUCCAAGUCUAACACAUGAUUUUCAUCAGCUCAUCAUCACUAGUUGAUUUCAGCUUAAUUAAAUAAACAU